AAAAGCUAUUGUGUCCUCUUUAGCAGUCAAUGCUAAAUAAGCUACCCAGGGUCUAUGCUUAACCAGUCAAGAUUGGCUGGGAGCCGUAGUGACCCAAUCGGACGGAGCUGGCGGGAUGUGUGCCGAGAAAGGAAAGAAGAAGAAGAAGAAGAAGAAGAAGAAGAAGAAGAAGAAGAAGAAGAAGAAGAAGAAGAAGAAGAAGCAGAAGAAGAAGAAA